rnacentral:sRNA from 1 species
GGGUGUGAGGGCGAUAUGGCUGCAACAUCUGUCACCCCACUGAUCACCAGGGUUGAUUUGGCUGAUCUGGCUGGCUAGGCGGGUCUCCACUUCCUCCCUCACCGUUCCAUGUCCGUCCCUCCUGAAGCUGUUCGCUCAGUCAAAGAAGACAGCCUUCCCCAAACAGAAUAGCUGUAGGGGCAGGUGGUAGCACAACAGGUUAAGCACACAUGGCGCAAGGCACAGGGGUCAGAGUAAGAAUCCCGGUUCAAGUCCCCAGCUCCCCACCUACAGGGAGGUCGCCUCUUAAGUGGUGAAACAGGUCUGUCUGUCCCU